rnacentral:rRNA from 1 species
GAUGAACGCUAGCGGCAGGCUUAAUACAUGCAAGUCGAGGGACAGCACAGGUAGCAAUACUGGGUGGUAACCGGCAAACGGGUGCGGAACACGUACACAACCUUCCUUUAAGUGGGGGAUAGCCCAGAGAAAUUUGGAUUAAUACCCCGUAAUAUAGUUGAAUGGCAUCAUUUGAUUAUUAUAGCUACGGCGCUUAAUGAUGGGUGUGCGGCUGAUUAGAUAGUUGGCGGGGUAACGGCCCACCAAGUCUACGAUCAGUAGCUGAUGUGAGAGCAUGAUCAGCCACACGGGCACUGAGACACGGGCCCGACUCCUACGGGAGGCAGCAGUAAGGAAUAUUGGUCAAUGGACGCAAGUCUGAACCAGCCAUGCCGCGUGAAGGAUUAAGGUCCUCUGGAUUGUAAACUUCUUUUAUUUGGGACGAAAAAGGGCAUUUCUAGGUCAACUGACGGUACCAGAUGAAUAAGCACCGGCUAACUCCGUGCCAGCAGCCGCGGUAAUAC